rnacentral:rRNA from 1 species
AUUGAACGCUGGCGGCAGGCUUAACACAUGCAAGUCGAGCGGAGAGAGGUAGCUUGCUACUGAUCUUAGCGGCGGACGGGUGAGUAAUGCUUAGGAAUCUGCCUAUUAGUGGGGGACAACAUUUCGAAAGGAAUGCUAAUACCGCAUACGUCCUACGGGAGAAAGCAGGGGAUCUUCGGACCUUGCGCUAAUAGAUGAGCCUAAGUCGGAUUAGCUAGUUGGUGGGGUAAAGGCCUACCAAGGCGACGAUCUGUAGCGGGUCUGAGAGGAUGAUCCGCCACACUGGGACUGAGACACGGCCCAGACUCCUACGGGAGGCAGCAGUGGGGAAUAUUGGACAAUGGGCGGAAGCCUGAUCCAGCCAUGCCGCGUGUGUGAAGAAGGCCUUAUGGUUGUAAGGCACUUUAAGCGAGGAGGAGGCUACUUUAGUUAAUACCUAGAGAUAGUGGACGUUACUCGCAGAAUAAGCACCGGCUAACUCUGUGCCAGCAGCCGCCGUAAGAC